UAUCUGAUGAGUGGCGAGUGCCGAUCAUAACGAGCUCAAGUAACCCGAAAGGCAAAGAUGAUGUUCCUCGUGUUGCUGAGCUUUGCUGCCAGCGUUACUCUGCUGUCAGGACUGAAAGUCACGCAAACGCCCGCCGACAUCAUCGAGGCAGCGGGCCGCCCGGCCACGAUCGCGUGUACUCACAGCAUACCGAACUACGACCAGAUGCUGUGGUACCGGCAGCCCGGCAUGGGCAUGCAGCUCAUCGGGUACAUGUACUACAAAAACCCCACGAUGGAGCCUCACCAGGACGUUAAGUUGGAGGGGACCGCAGAAUCCGGCAAAACGUGCAAGAUGACUUUCCCAAAGCUGCGCCCGAACAGCAGCGCUGUUUAUUAUUGCGCAGCGAGCUACCACGGUGCAGUGUCGUGCUAAAUCCUCAAGUCAUA